AAAUCAAGCGCGAAAAGGGCGUUUGGUGGAUGCCUUGGCAGUAAGAGGCGAUGAAGGACGUGAUACUCUGCGAUAAGCCAUGGGGAGCUGAGAAUAAGCUUUGAUCCAUGGAUUUCCGAAUGGGGCAACCCACCUGACAGUUUGUUAUAAUAGCCUUCGGGCUGCUUAUAAUGGGCUGAAACAGGUACUUAUUACCUGAAUACAUAGGGUUUUAAGAGCAAACCCGGGGAACUGAAACAUCUAAGUACCCGGAGGAAAGGACAUCAAUAGAGACUCCCUAGUAGCGGCGACGCGAACGGGGGACCAGCGAGUCCUGAGAGUGACCAGAACGACCUGGAAGGUCGGCCAUAGCGGGUGACAGCCCCGUAUGGGAAGCUCAAUGGAACGUAUUAAGUAGGGCGGGGACACGUGAAAUCCUGUUCGAAGAUCGGAGGACCACCUCCGAAGGC
rnacentral:rRNA from 1 species